rnacentral:rRNA from 1 species
GACGAACGCUGGCGGCGUGCCUAACACAUGCAAGUUGAGCGACGAACCAGGGCUUGCCCUGGGGCAAAGCAGCGAACGGGUGAGUAACACGUGGGUAACCUACCCCGAUAACCGGGACAACCCGAGGAAACUCGGGCUAAUACCGGAUGUGCUCACUGGACUUCGGUUCAGUGCGUAAAGGAAGCUUCGGCCUCCGUAUCGGGAGGGGCCCGCAGCCCAUUAGUUUGUUGGUGAGGUAACGGCUCACCAAGACCGCGAUGGGUAGCUGGUCUGAGAGGACGAUCAGCCACACUGGGACUGAGACACGGCCCAGACUCCUACGGGAGGCAGCAGUGGGGAAUCUUGCGCAAUGCGCGAAAGCGUGACGCAGCAACGCCGCGUGGGGGAAGAAGGCCUUCGGGUUGUAAACCCCUUUCAGGAGGGACGAAGGUUCGGCGGUGAAUAGCCGUCCGGACUGACGGUACCUCCACAAGAAGCCCCGGCUAACUACGUG